CCUACGGGUGGCAGCAGUGGGGGAUAUUGCACAAUGGGGGAAACCCUGAUGCAGCGACGCCGCGUGUGGGAAGACGGUCCUCUGGAUUGUAAACCACUGUCCCCAGGGACGAAGAUGACGGUACCUGGGGAGGAAGCUCCGGCUAACUACGUGCCAGCAGCCGCGGUAAUACGUAGGGAGCGAGCGUUGUCCGGAAUUACUGGGUGUAACGGGGGCGCAGACGGCUGCGCAAGGCAGGAGUGAAAGCGCGGGGCCCAACCCCGGGACUGCUGUUGGAACUGCGCGGCUGGAGUGCAGGAGGGGCAGGCGGAAUUCCUGGUGUAGCGGUGAAAUGCGUAGAUAUCAGGAGGAACACCGGUGGCGAGGGCGGCCUGCUGGACUGCGACUGACGUUGAGGCCCGAAAGCGUGGGGAGCAAACAGGAUUAGAUACCCGAGUAGUC
rnacentral:rRNA from 1 species